CAAUGCGGUCAUGGCUUCUGCGACACUUCAAAUCAGGAAUGACAUCGUGGGUUUGGUUACUUUUAUCUCCAUAUGGUGUCCGGAUGCUCAUACGGCCAUAUGCAGGGGGGUGAAAUGACUAUUUCUUUUGAGAGUGUAGCCGUCCUGUUGAAUCUUCCAAUAACAGGGAACCUUGACAUUACUUUGUUUGGUGAGGAAGAGCAAAUGCGUGCCAUUCUUGUCGCCAAGUCGGUAGGGUUUGUUAGGAAAGAUUACGAAACGAACUGAUUUUACGGCUGGUGGGUGUCUGAGUGGUUUUCGAAAGGCUCGGAACUGGAUCAAAUGAACGGUACCCUCUAUGUCACUGCAUUUUUGGAUCUUUGGCUAUCCAUAGAUAUUCUUCAUGAUGGCUCUGGAAAUAAGGAGAUAAGACAGGAUCUCAUCAAACUGGCUAUCAAAUUGGCGAAAGGUGUUGUCCUCCCCAUCAGUGGCUUGUUUCUUGGAUCUUUGUACACCCAUCUGGAUCACUUGACUGCGGACAUGUAUGCUUAUAAUGGUCAUAUGAAAGUAGACUCGUAUGUCCACAUCACUUUUCUUCAAACGUGGUUGUGGGAGCAUUUCAAAAAUUAUGCUCCUAAGCCGCUGGCUUCAUUUCCUGAUUCCUAUGGAGGCUCCAGGAUACUCCGCUGGUUGAACAAGCGUCCAAAAUCUGGAUCGAAGCUCAUCGACUUCCUCGACAAUGCAUAUGCAGUUAAAUUUCGUCCUUGGGCCCUGAUCCAUGCGUCCGUAGUUCAGCCAAACACUUUUGUUGAUGCCCCAAAUAUGACUUUGCUUUCCGCUAGAGAGAAUAUGAGCGUUGGAGAAAUCAUAUUCAUGCGAAGUUGUAUACCCGAACACGUGCCAUUUUUGUUCAGGGGAUCUUAUAAGGCGGUUCCUUAUUAUAUUGACAGCGCUGCUCGGCAUAUGGGUUUUGACCAAGGAGUCCCGUUUCUUCGUCAGUCGGAGGCUCUGAAAGAAUUGUUGUCAGCUGCUCUUGAUGCCAGUGUUCUUGCGCAGGGUAGAAGCCUCCCUUUCCUGCUCUCAGAACGAAUCCCGUCAACGACCUCCAAAUACAAUAUGUUCUGGCAAGAUGAGUUUAUUGCCAUCCAUGGAGUUGUGAAUGACGUGGUGAAAGAUCCUCGUGGCAAGCCUUCUCCUGCGGUUUUGUAGAAACAUCCAUCGUUGAAGGAGCUUCCUACAGUUAAGAGGAAAUCUCUCAGCCCGGAUGUGGACAGUCCUCAGGAAAAGGAGCGAAGGUCUAAAAAUAGUGCGGGUGGUUUUCAUUUGGAUUCGUCAGCUCUCGUGACUUUCAGUUCUUCCAACAUACGGUUAUGCAUGGAUCCUUCUUGAUUUGACUGGUUCACACAAAUCUUCUAUUUCGGUUGAACAUCUUUUCUUCUUUUAUUUCACAACUCAGGGUCUUGACAACAUGAACCCCUUUUCCAGACUCGCGCACAAUCAGAAAUCGGCGUCUAAGUUUCUUGAAGAUGAAGAAGAGUCCGGAGAAGAGGAACGUUCGGGAUCCAGUGGUGAUGCUAGAAGUACUUCUGAAAGUAGCACUAAGUCUUCCUCCAGCGAGUCCGUAGAUGAGUCGGGAGGAACCGUUUCUGAAGAUGGCCCUGAGGUGGAGACUCAUCACGGUGAAGAUGUAGCUUUGACCCCAACCGUAGAAGCCGCGCCUGCUGGUGAUUUGGAAAUGGAGGUUGAAGACAUCGCUGCAAACCAGAUGGUGCAAAGUACUUCGGUGACCGUUGGCGCAAUUGUAGUCAGGAAUCCUCCGCCGGUCACAGAUUCAGUUGCGUGCGCCAUUUUUUCCCUCCAUAUUUGGUUCCUUUUCCAGAUCAUGUGUUGAUUGGAGGCUUCAGUGUGCCAGGAAAAUAUGCGAAAUUAUACACUAAGAUAUGGGAAAGGUAUGGACAUAUCUCCACAACUAAAAAGAUCACUAGACGGUUCUCUCUAGUCAGGCGCGUGGAAGAAUCCUUAUCUUCGACUGACGACAUGUGCAAUGCGACUGGCCAUACCGUUUCCGAGGAUGUAAUCUCGAGCUGGAAGUUCUACCUGGAAAUGUGCGUAAACUUUGAGUUAAACACUCCCUGGUUUGUUGGGGAUUUCACCGAGAUGCAAAAGUUGCAGGCUGAGGCGACCAAAGGCCCCUCCGCGGACAUGAUCAAUCAACAGGAAGCGGAAAUCGAAAGGUUGUCCAAAAAAUAAAAGCUGAAACGGGUGGCUCUCCAAAGCGCGGAGGAGGAUUUCUCUAAGAAGAGCAAGCUAUUGUUGAAUGAUUUUACUUGAAGAUCUUCAGGGCUUCUUUUGCUUAGGUUUUUUUUUUGAAAGGCGAACGAAACGCCUAGUUUUUGGAUUUUGGAUUGGUAGAUAAUUGUUAUCUAUGAGGGUUUUGGAUUAUUCUUUGGAAUGAAUUUUAGAAUAAUGUCGUUUUGAUCACGACUAUAAGUAGCACAAAUAUUCCAGGAGAGUCAUGAAACCUUGAAUGUUGUAUGACGCUAGAAAGUAUGGGAUGAA